AGCGAACGCUGGCGGCAUGCCUAACACAUGCAAGUCGAACGAGACCUUCGGGUCUAGUGGCGCACGGGUGCGUCACGCGUGGGAACCUGCCCUUAGGUUCGGAAUAACUCCCCGUCAGGGGUGCUAAUACCGGAUAAUGUCUUCGGACCCAAGAUUUAUCGCCUUUGGAUGGGCCCGCGUUGGAUUAGCUUGUUGGUAGGGUAAAAGCCUACCAAGGCGACGAUCCAUAGCUGGUCUGAGAGGAUGAUCAGCCACACUGGGACUGAGACACGGCCCAGACUCCUACGGGAGGCAGCAGUGGGGAAUAUUGGACAAUGGGCGAAAGCCUGAUCCAGCAAUGCCGCGUGAGUGAUGAAGGCCUUAGGGUUGUAAAGCUCUUUUACCCGGGAUGAUAAUGACAGUACCGGGAGAAUAAGCUCCGGCUAACUCCGUG
rnacentral:rRNA from 1 species